UACGAGGGGGGCAAGCGUUGUUCGGAAUUAUUGGGCGUAAAGGGCGCGUAGGCGGUUUGACAAGUCUGAUGUGAAAUCUCUGGGCUCAACCCAGAGUCUGCAUUAGAAACUGUCGGGCUUGAGUAUGGGAGAGGUGAGUGGAAUUUCCGGUGUAGCGGUGAAAUGCGUAGAUAUCGGAAGGAACACCUGUGGCGAAAGCGGCUCACUGGACCAUAACUGACACUCACAGGACGAAAGCUAGGGGAGCGAAAGGG
rnacentral:rRNA from 1 species